UACAGAGGUCCCGAGCGUUGUUUGGAUUCGCUGGGCGUAAAGGGUGCGUAGGUGGCGAGGUAAGUCGGAUGUGAAAGCUCGGAGCUCAACUCCGAAAUGGCAUUGGAAACUACCUUGCUCGAGGGUUGGAGGGGGGACUGGAAUACUUGGUGUAGCAGUGAAAUGCGUAGAUAUCAAGUGGAACGCCAGUGGCGAAGGCGAGUCCCUGGACAACUCCUGACACUGAGGCACGAAGGCUAGGGGAGCAAACAGG
rnacentral:rRNA from 1 species